CGCCGGGCCGCCCAAGGCCGCCGCCUCCACCUGCGUCGCCGCUUCCGCCCGGGAGGGGCGCCCGCUCGGCCGCCGACUUCCGGUUCGCGCGCCCGGGCCGCGCAGAUCAAGAUGUAAGAUUCUCAGCUCCUUCUCCAGCGCCAUGUCUGCCUGCAUACCACCCACCAUGAAGAUAAUGGACUAAACCUCUGAACUGUAAGCCACCCCAAUUAAAUGUUUUCCUUUAUAAGA